rnacentral:rRNA from 1 species
GAGUUUGAUCUUGGCUCAGAUUGAACGCUGGCGGCAGGCCUAACACAUGCAAGUCGGGCGGUAGAGAGAAGCUUGCUUCUCUUGAGAGCGGCGGACGGGUGAGUAAUGCCUAGGAAUCUGCCUGGUAGUGGGGGGAUAACGCUCGGGAACGGACGCUAAUACCGCAUACGUCCUACGGGAGAAAGCAGGGGACCUUCGGGCCUUGCGCUAUCAGAUGAGCCUAGGUCGGAUUAGCUAGUUGGUGAGGUAAUGGCUCACCAAGGCGACGAUCCGUAACUGGUCUGAGAGGAUGAUCAGUCACACUGGAACUGAGACACGGUCCAGACUCCUACGGGAGGCAGCAGUGGGGAAUAGUUGGACAAUGGGCGGAAGCCUGAUCCAGCCAUGCUGCGUGUGUGAAGAAGGUCUUCGGAUUGUAAAGCACUUUAAGUUGGGAGGAAGGGCAGUAAAUUAAUACUUUGCUGUUUUGACGUUAUCGACAGAAUAAGCACCGGCUAAC